rnacentral:rRNA from 1 species
GAUGAACGCUAGCGGCAGGCUUAACACAUGCAAGUCGAGGGGUAGAAGGAGCUUGCUCCUUUGAGACCGGCGCACGGGUGCGUAACGCGUAUGCAAUCUACCUUGUACAGGGGGAUAGCCCAGAGAAAUUUGGAUUAAUACCCCAUAGUAUUUUCAGAUGGCCUCAUUUGAUUAUUAAAGUUCCAACGGUACAAGAUGAGCAUGCGUCCCAUUAGCUAGUUGGUGUGGUAACGGCAUACCAAGGCAACGAUGGGUAGGGGUCCUGAGAGGGAGAUCCCCCACACUGGUACUGGGACACGGACCAGACUCCUACGGGAGGCAGCAGUGAGGAAUAUUGGUCAAUGGGCGCAAGCCUGAACCAGCCAUGCCGCGUGCAGGAUGACGGUCCUAUGGAUUGUAAACUGCUUUUGUACAGGAAGAAACCCUCCCUUGUAAGGGAGCUUGACGGUACUGUAAGAAUAAGGAUCGGCUAACUCCGUGCCAGCCGCCGCCGUAAUAC